rnacentral:lncRNA from 1 species
CUUGCAGAGCUACUGCUAGUUGUGGGAGGACGGGGAGACAGGAGGAAGGCAUCUGGAGAGCACCAUCCUGCCUAGAAGGCAGGGUUUUCCCUGUAACUGGAUCUCUCUGUAAGGAGCACAGUGAUGAUCUCUUCUCUCCACCCUCACUUUCUCACCCCCUACCGACCAUUCCUUAGCCUCCACCGGUUGAACUGCGGGCUGCUGCCCUUCGUGCAGAGAUCACAGAUGCUGAAGGCCUGGGUUUGAAGCUCGAAGAUCGAGAGACAGUUAUUAAGGAGUUGAAGAAGUCACUCAAGAUUAAGGGAGAGGAGCUAAGUGAGGCCAAUGUGCGGCUGAGCCUCCUGGAGAAGAAGUUGGACAGUGCUGCCAAGGAUGCAGAUGAGCGCAUCGAGAAAGUCCAGACUCGGCUGGAGGAGACCCAGGCACUGCUGCGAAAGAAGGAGAAGUCAGGCACUUUCCCUGGGGCCUUGCUUCCUCUAAUCCUCCCACUGCUGGAGCUCUCU